UGACGGUACUUGAUGAAUAAGCCACGGCUAAUUCCGUGCCAGCAGCCGCGGUAAUACGGGAGUGGCAAGCGUUAUCCGGAAUUAUUGGGCGUAAAGCGUCCGCAGGCGGCCCUUCAAGUCUGCUGUUAAAAAGUGGAGCUUAACUCCAUCAUGGCAGUGGAAACUGUUGGGCUUGAGUGUGGUAGGGGCAGAGGGAAUUCCCGGUGUAGCGGUGAAAUGCGUAGAUAUCGGGAAGAACACCAGUGGCGAAGGCGCUCUGCUGGGCCAUCACUGACGCUCAUGGACGAAAGCCAGGGGAGCGAAAGGGAUUAUAUACCCCUGUAGUCCUGGCCGUAAACGAUGAACACUAGGUGUCGGGGGAAUCGACCCCUUCGGUGUCGUAGCCAACGCGUUAAGUGUUCCGCCUGGGGAGUACGCACGCAAGUGUGAAACUCAAAUGAAUUGACGG
rnacentral:rRNA from 1 species